UUCACUCAAUGACACCAUCAUGGGAUGCUCUGGGCUGUUUAUUUUGGGUUUGGUCCUAAAUGUUGCUCACUGCUUGGAAAUCCUGGAUCCGGCUGGAGAGACGGUUAUUGAUUUCACUCCCAACAUCACAGCAUUCCUGGGAGAGGACGUCUACCUGAGCUGUAGAUAUCAGGGCGAGGACAAAAUCGAGAGCGCCGAGUGGAAACGCCAGAUCAACAACAAAAUGAAAUCCAAGCGACUGGCCGGGUUUGUAAAUGGCAAAGCCUUUAGCCGCGAUAACAUCUCACAGCCUGAGUCUCUCUCCAACCUCACAGUUAGGAUGAAGGUGUCCAGUGUGGAAGCAGAGGGAGAAUACAUCUGUGAGUUUAGAACAGAGGAUGAACAGUAUCUUGGAAGCCUAUAUCUCACUGUUGUAGCUCGGCCUGAUGUACAGAUGCUGGUGAAUGCAGAGACCAUAAACGGCUCUCACUACCAGUCGGUUUCAUGCUCUGCGGUCGGUGGUAGGCCUAGGCCUCAGAUCAGCUGGUUGGUCGCAGGCCGUCCUCCUUCAUAUGACACUUUUGCUGUGGACGUGAGUGAAACCGUUCACUCAAACGGCACCUCCACCCUGAGCAGCAUCCUCCGGUUCCCCACCCACCUGCAGGACGAGGAAAGCGUGACUUGUGUGGUUGUACACCCAACCUUCCCAGACCCCAAACUCACCACAGUCAGGGUGGAAACUUACACGAGGCCAAAUGUGAGCAUUAAAGCAGAGAUGGUACAACGCGGAGGAAGUGAGUUCUGGGUGGUCUCGUGCAUUUCAUCCGGAGGGAGACCUGACACUGACAUCGCCUUGGCUUUGAACAGCAACGAAGAGCUGCAGAGAGAGGACAACACAGACUCAGACAUGCAGACAAGCUCAGUCGUCCUCAGUGCAACAGUUUAUGAGGGGCACAAUGUCACCUGUGUGUUUGAUCACCCCAAAUUUACACAUCAAGUGUCACGAGUCAUAACACUGCCGUCUCUUUAUUUUUCUGAAGUUCAGUUGUUACUGUACUCGGAGCUUGGAAGCAACAGUGAUCACCUCCAAGGCACUGAAACCUUAGAGGUGCAGGAAGGAGAGAGAGACACCGUCAUCAGCCUACAGGUGACUGGAAAUGUGCCACAUUACAACGUCACCUGCAAAAAAGAUGACGGGCCCUUGCCUGACGGUGUGGAGCUGGUUGGCAGCAGCCUCUCAGUUCAGGGUCCAGCGGAGAACCAUCAUGCCGGACUGUAUGAAUGCUUCUUCUCCUAUCACCAUCUUAAUGCGACGCUGAAGUUUAAUGUCACGGUUAAACCUAAAGUUAUACAGCCUGUUCCACCAACAAUUCGAGUCGAUUUGCAGACCGAAGAUGGACACGGGGUGAUUGAGUGCUCAGCAGCUGAUGCUGUUCCUGCAGCCAACAUGUCCUGGCUUCUACCAGAGGGUGUGUCUGGAGUCUCUUGGUUCAAUUUCACUUCUCAUAAUGGAAGCCACUCUGUCAGGGGAGUUUUACUCCUCCCAGCCUGCUCGCCUUGGGAGCUCACUGCAGAGUGUGUGAUAAAUCACCCUGCGUUUGAGGAGCCAGAGAACAGAAGCAUUACCCUCCCUCUUUGCGUUUUUUCAUCUUCUCUUUCCCACGCAGCUCGCCCUAAAAUCACCAUCAACUCCAGCACUGAGUGGAGAGACGGUCACGAGUUCACAAAGGUGGACUGCUCUGUGGACAGCGUUGCCCCUGCAGCAACCAUAAGCUGGCAUGUUGGAAACGGUGACAGCAGCAUCAGUUAUCUGUCUGAGACUGAAGUCCAGGCCGAUGGUUUGGUAUCGGUCCGGAGCUCUGCGCAUGUCCUGUCAUCUCUGUAUUCUGGUCAGAAUUUGACCUGCACAGUGGAGCAUCCAAGCCUGGAGGCACCAGAGAAAAGGACAAUACACAUUCUUGUGCACAAAGCCCCUCUCCUGAGUGUGUCUCUGGUGAGGCAGCAGGAUUCUCUUCUCUGGCUGGCAGUGUGUGACUGCAGAGAGAAGGGGGUCGGGACUAACCUCGCCUGGGUCCUUCCCGAAAAUGCCAAAGGCCAAACAUCCCUGCACUCAGAGUACGAGGGGCGCGUCAUUAAAGCCAGGCUGACUUACCAGUUUCCUCUGGCCCUUCAUGAGGGACAGGACCUGACCUGUGUGUAUCGUUUUGACCAUGGAGCCACAGAUCAAAAGACCAUUCAUGUCCCCAGAUACCAUAUAUCCUCUGUGAGAGUCUUAAACCACACGACUCCUCUGCAAAGCCGCUACGGUGGUGAAACCAUCACACACAGACUAGCUCUCCAAGAAUAUCAGCACAACCAGAGAGUACUGCUCCGAGUCGAAGGCAACGUGCCAGAGUACAACCUCAUCUGUAAAAGGAGUGAUGGCUCAUUUGUCCAAAUGGACGGAGAUGCAAUGGUCUUCCAAUCAGAACUCACAGAGCAGGAUGAAGGCCUGUACAGCUGCCGGGCGUCCUUCUAUCACCACACAGCCACAGUCAACAUUCAAGUGGAGGUCACGAGUGAGAACAAGCUGUUCGCACUUGUUGCCAUUAUCUGCAUUUCUUCGGCGUUGGUCAUCCUACUCAUCCUCAUCAUCAUCCUCUGGGUUUGCUGGUGAGUUAAAUGCCUGCACAUGUAACCUUGGUUGCAACUCUACAGGUGAUGUGUUGACGGGCAUGUGAGGGCAACGCUGGCAGUGUAAUAUGAUACGAGACAAACAGGAUGCGUGGAUUGUUAACCCAACUCACCAAAAACCUCAGUAUCAUGCUGAUAUUCAUAAACAGGAAGCAGUGUUGUCAGAAGCAGACAGGUGCCUCUGCCACCGCAGCCCUGUUUGCAGACAGGUAGAACAUGGGAAAUAAACAGAUUUAUCGUCCAGUUUCCUGCUCUGGCUUUUAGCAGUGUUACUUCUGGCACUCUCUGCAGUAGACUGCUGUUCGUUGGCCUAUUAUCAUCAAUGCCACAUUGCAAAAGCGAAGGUAAAAGGUUCAAAGUCCACGAUUUCUAAAGUUAUUAGGGUAAUGAAAUUCGUGCUGCCAUUCACCAUGAGAAAAAAAUCCACAAAUCCAUCUCUUAAUCUUACUGCAGUUGGAAAAAAUUAGCGAGCCACUUGUCAUUUACGACUGAUGUGGGAUAUCUGUCACAAUCCUAGAACUGUUUAAUGGCUUCUGCCUGCAGAACUUUCCACAUUUUUCACAUUCACUGCCACAUCUAACUUCUCUCAAGAAUGUUUGUCUGGAUCGGAUCAGGCCUCGCUGUGACUAAAGCUGCACCGCGCAGCACAACAGCAGUUCAGAAGCAGUAUCAAUAGGCCCGGCUCUCUGGUCAGAACAUUUGGUCAAGGUGCCAUUGGUUGACAGAGCCUCAGUCCCAUUAUCCCCGGCUCCAGUGGGAGGUUCCCGUCAGGCUAAUUUGGGAAGCAAAGGAAAUAGCAAGGCACAAUAUAAGG